GAUGAACGCUAGCGGCGGGCCUAACACAUGCAAGUCGAGGGAGAGGGUACUGCCGGGUUACCAAACCCGGCUCGCGGGCGCGUAAGGAGUAUACAAUCAGCCUUCCCCAUAGGGAUAGCUAGCAGCAGUUAGCUUUAAUACCUAACGGUAUAUAGAUGCGGCUUCGUUUUUAUAUUAAAGCAACGGCAGCGAAAGAUGAGUAUGUGUCCGAUUAGCUAGUUGGUGAGGUAAUGGCUGCCUACGGCGACGAUAGCUAGGGGUUCUGAGAGGGAUGUCCCCCACACUGGUACUGGGAUACUGACCAGACACCUACGGGAGGCAGCAGUGAGGGAUAUAGCAGUAUGGACGGAAGACUGAUCCGGCCAUGCCGCGUGCAGGAACAAGGUCCGAUGGAUGGUGAACUUCUGGUGUAAGGGAGGAUUAGGAGGUACGGGUGGGUUGAUGACGGUACCGGAUGAAUAAGCAUCGGCUAACUACGUG
rnacentral:rRNA from 1 species